GUAAUAGUAGAUAGUGUAGGUAAUAGUAGAUAGUGUAGGUAAUAGAGCCUGUAGGUAGUGUAGGUAAUAGUAGAUAGUGUAGGUAAUAGUAGAUAGUGUAGGUAAUAGUAGAUAGUGUAGGUAAUAGUAGAUAGUGUAGGUAAUAGUAGAUAGUGUAGGUAAUAGAGCCUGUAGAUAGUGUAGGUAAUAGUAGAUAGUGUAGGUAAUAGUAGAUAGUGUAGGUGAUAGUAGAUAGUGUAGGUAUUAGGGCCUGUAGAUAGUGUAGGUAAUCGUAGAUAGUGUAGGUAAUAGGGUCUGUAGAUCGUGUAGGUAAUAGGGUCUGUAGAUAGUGUAGGUAAUAGGGUCUGUAGAUAGUCUAGGUAAUAGGGUCUGUAGAUAGUGUAGGGAAUAGUAGAUAGUGUAGGGAAUAGUAGAUAGUGUAGAUAAUAGAGCCUGUAGGUAGUGUAGGUAAUAAUAGAUAGUGUAGAGAAUAGUAGAUAGUGUAGGGAAUAGUAGAUAGUGUAGAUAAUAGAGCCUGUAGGUAGUGUAGGUAAUAGUAGAUAGUGUAGGUAGUAGGGUCUGUAGAGAGUGUAGGUAAUAGUAGAUAGUGUAGGUAAUAGUAGAUAUUGUAGGAAAUAGUAGAUAGUGUAGGUAAUAGGGUCUGUAGAGAGUGUAGGUAAUAGUAGAUAGUGUAGGUAAUAGUAGAUAGUGUAGGUAAUAGGGUCUGUAGAUAGUGCAGGUAUUAGGGUCUGUAGAUAGUAUAGGUAAUAGUAGGUAGUGUAGGCAAUAGUAGAGAGUGUAGGUAAUAGAACCUGUAGAUAGUGUAGGUAAUAG
ensembl:lncRNA